GGACGGGUCUGGAAGCGCAGGCCCCUCCGCUCGGGUCAUCUUCUCACUAAUCGUCUGCCCGUCGUGUGAUGUUUGCGUUAGGAUUCGGCAUUUAAAUGUUUUUUUUUCUUUUAUAUGUUGUAGUUCGUCUUAUAAUCUCCUUCGAAGGUGACAGAGUUUAACCCGGAGGUGUGAGGGACGGCCCUUAGCAACCCUGUCACUACUGUCAACAGAAGGGGACAGGAGGAACGAGGUGGCCGUCCGAGAGAGGACGUGAUAUUUUACUCCCCGAGACCAUGUCACAGCCACCUGGAGGAAACGGAGCCGGGCGGGACGACGUGGUGAACGCGCUGGUGUCUUCACACGGGUGGCUGCGGGACAACGGGCUGCAGCGGAGCAAGCUCAGCCUCCCCCAGAUUCUCACGCACAUCGGCUUCAGGCAGCGUGGGGAUUAUGUUCAUCAUCAAGUCCAUCUCCUCCAAAUACGCCGACGGCAUGUUCCCUCAGAUCACCGUAGAUGGGACUGUCCACAACGUAUGAGUACCAAUGGCGUUGUAACACUGGCACCAGUAGAAUUGCGCGGAUGCUUUUUUAUUUUUUCUAAUUUAUUGUUCUGUGAAGAUAACAGUUCUGGGAAGAACUGGAGUCCCUCUGCGAGAAGUUGGAGGCUAAAGCGAAGCUGUGCAGCCGGAGGCUGGACUGGCUCACCACAGGCAGCAGGAAGCUUUUCGGGGUCAUCCAGGAGAAGAGUGUCACAUUAGUGCUGGAUGUCGGAUGUUCUGCCACGAGGGCCCAGCAAAAGCUUGGCAAGCAGGCCUUGUGUAAAGUGAUUUGUGAGCAAGUUUCACAAAUGGACUGUUUCAACAUUAUGAGGUAAGGAACGCAGAACGCUUUUACUGAACG
ensembl:lncRNA